GACGAACGCUGGCGGCGUGCUUAACACAUGCAAGUCGAACGAUGAAGCUGGAGCUUGCUCCGGUGGAUUAGUGGCGAACGGGUGAGUAACACGUGAGCAAUCUGCCCUUGACUCUGGGAUAGCUGCGGGAAACUGUAGCUAAUACCGGAUACUUUCACUGGAAGGCAUCUUCUAGUGAAGAAAGAAUUUCGGUCAAGGAUGAGCUCGCGGCCUAUCAGCUUGUUGGUGAGGUAACGGCUCACCAAGGCGACGACGGGUAGCCGGCCUGAGAGGGUGACCGGCCACACUGGGACUGAGACACGGCCCAGACUCCUACGGGAGGCAGCAGUGGGGAAUAUUGCACAAUGGGCGCAAGCCUGAUGCAGCAACGCCGCGUGAGGGAUGAAGGCCUUCGGGUUGUAAACCUCUUUUAGCAGGGAAGAAGCGAAAGUGACGGUACCUGCAGAAAAAGCACCGGCUAACUACGUGCCAGCCGCCGCGGUAA
rnacentral:rRNA from 1 species